AGCGUGCCUAAUACAUGCAAGUCGAGCGAACAAGAAGGAGCUUGCUCCUUUGACGUUAGCGGCGGACGGGUGAGUAACACGUGGGCAACCUACCUUAUAGUUUGGGAUAACUCCGGGAAACCGGGGCUAAUACCGAAUAAUCUAUUUUACUUCAUGGUGAAACUACUGAAAGACGGUUUCGGCUGUCGCUAUAAGAUGGGCCCGCGGCGCAUUAGCUAGUUGGUGAGGUAACGGCUCACCAAGGCGACGAUGCGUAGCCGACCUGAGAGGGUGAUCGGCCACACUGGGACUGAGACACGGCCCAGACUCCUACGGGAGGCACGCAGUAGGGAAUCUUCCACAAUGGGCGGAAGCCUGAUGGAGCAACGCCGCGUGAGUGAAGAAGGUUUUCGGAUCGUAAAACUCUGUUGUAAGGGAAGAACAAGUACAGUAGUAACUGGCUGUACCUUGACGGUACCUUAUUAGAAACGCACGGCUAAACUACGUGCCAGCAGCCGCGGUAAUACGUAGGUGGCAAGCGUUGUCCGGAAUUAUUGGGCGUAAGGCGCGCGCAGGCGGUCUUUAAGUCUGAUGUGAAAGCCACGGCUC
rnacentral:rRNA from 1 species